ACAUCUGUAGCUCAAUUGGACAGAGCAUUGGAUUACGAAUCCAAAAGUUGGAAGUUCAAAUCUUUCCAGAUGUG
rnacentral:tRNA from 1 species